AGUAGGGAAACUGUGUGAGCCAAGAAUUAUUCUGGCAGCUGGGGAGGCUGGAACUGGGAAAGGCUAAUGAGAGGUCUGCUGCUGUUAGAAUCCAGGUGUGAGGUGAUAAGGGCCAGCCUAGGGAAGGUUGAGAACAGAAGUGGAAAAAGAAUGUCUCAAGUGUGAUCUGUACUCCACCCCCAUCAGGACUCCCUGGAGGUUCCAAAAUGCGGAUUGCAGCUCCACUCAGGGUGGCUACAGAACCUUUCUUUAUCUUUCGCGAGUCCAUGUUGCUGGUGAUUCUACACUAUGGAAAACUUGGAGGAUCUACCAAGUGAAAAGUUAGCACGGCCUAGGAGCAAAAUGAGCCAGGUAGGGAGUGGAUAACAAAGCAGUCUAACUCAAAGAUGCCACGGAAUCUGAUUACUGGUUUUAUAUGAUUUUACAUAUAUGAAAUUAUUUGCCAGUUCAACCAGGUUUUACUCUUAUAACUCAAGAUGACAGAGCAAUCAAGAUGUCUCUGCCUCCUCUUUCUGAAUGCUAAGAUCACAGAUAUGCCACACCAUACCCAGCUUUAACCAAUUAAAAUGUAUUCAUUCUAUGCAUAUGGGUAUUUUGCCUGUAUGUAUGUCUGUGUGCCACAUGUAUGACUUGGAUGCAAGAAGAAGGUGUGGAUUCUGUGGAACUGGGGUCCACAGACAGCUGUGUGCUUCAGUAUGAAUGCUAGAAAUUGAACCUGGGUUCUCUGGAUCAACAGCCAAUAUUCUUGCUGCUGUGCCAUCUCCACCACUGUAACCGCUUUUCCUUUUUAGAUGAGGAUGUUCCUGCUACCCCUAGACUCAAGUCAUUCUCCUGCCUCAAGAUUUUGAAGCAACUAAGUCUACAGGUCUGAGCCACCAGGCCUUGCUUAAGUUUAACCAAUUUAAAAGGUACUGGCCACUGGUGCUAAGAAUAUUCACACUGGUAUUCAACCAUCACCAACACAUCUCCAGGACGUGGUCAGUAUCCUAAGUUGGCAGGCACUGUGUCCCCAGGAAACACUCCCCCCUCCACUGUAUUUACACCCCACCAUGAAAAUGAUGCCUCCUAGAUUGAAAGGGCUUUGCAGAAAGAAGGUGAAUUCCAAUUUGCAUUUCCAGCUGAGCUAAGCAUAUUUGCAUAUGGAAAGAUCCUGUAACAAACUGUGUGGACAGAAUUGUGAAGCCCAGGGCUGAAGCACAUGACAGCCCAUGUCUGCAUGUCAUCGAGCUGAAAUGCUGCAGUCAUGUGAAUGGACAUAAGCCACCACCUCUGGGAGAAAUGGCUGCAGCAGAGAAGGAUGAACGGAAGGCAGAAAAACCAGGAAGGACCCAGGCUGACUGUGACUCAAGAGCUGGGGAAAACACUAAUGUUUUCUGACCACCUCUCGUUUUUACCCUUUGGUCCAUUCUUUCUGAGGUUUCUUCUUCAGAGGCCUCCUUAUCAUAGAUCCUGUCAUCCUGUAAAAUUGAACACAUUCCUAAAGGUCACCUUGAGGAGGACUGAAACCACUAAGGGAAUGUCAACAGUCAGUCAUGGAGAGUGGUAUGUGCAUGGAGGACAGGGGAUGGGCGACAAUUUUCUGGAGUCUCUGAUAAACGUUGCUGUGACCCUACAACUGCUGUAAACUGGUUAGAAGUGGCCUUGGAGGAAAGAACCAGAACCAGGAAAGGAUUCGGAGGAGGGGGCUGGAGAGAUGGCUCAGCGGUUAGGAGCACCGACUGCUCUUCUGAAGGUCCUAAGUUCAAAUCCCAGCAACCACAUGGUGGCUCACAACCAUCUGUAACAAGAUCUGACUCCCUCUUCUGGGGUGUCUGAAGACAGCUAGAGUGUACUUACAUAUAAUAAAGAAAUAAAUCUUAAAAAAAAAAA